AAGACUCGCUCCUCUUUCCUACAAGCAAUCAAUUUCAGGGCCAUAUUAUACCCUAGGGUUCGAAGAACACAGUUUUCUUCCACCCAUCCUAACAAUAUAUCCUUAUUUACAAAAAUGGUGUAUUGCUCACCAACCUCACGGGAAGCCCAUGAGUAAUCUGUCGGAGCAGAUGAACAUUCUUGCCCCGGAUUUUCGACUUCGACUCCACCGCUAACAAAAACCUUAUCUCCGCU
rnacentral:lncRNA from 1 species